rnacentral:rRNA from 1 species
CCUACGGGGGGCAGCAGUGGGGAAUAUUGGACAAUGGGCGAAAGCCUGAUCCAGCCAUGCCGCGUGUGUGAAGAAGGCCUUCGGGUUGUAAAGCACUUUCAGUGGGGAAGAAAGCCUUGGGGCUAAUACCCUCGAGGAAGGACAUCACCCACAGAAGAAGCACCGGCUAACUCCGUGCCAGCAGCCGCGGUAAUACGGAGGGUGCGAGCGUUAAUCGGAAUUACUGGGCGUAAAGCGCGCGUAGGCGGUCUGAUAAGCCGGUUGUGAAAGCCCCGGGCUCAACCUGGGAACGGCAUCCGGAACUGUCAGGCUAGAGUGCAGGAGAGGAAGGUAGAAUUCCCGGUGUAGCGGUGAAAUGCGUAGAGAUCGGGAGGAAUAACAGUGGCGAAGGCGGCCUUCUGGACUGACACUGACGCUGAGGUGCGAAAGCGUGGGUAGCAAACAGGAUUAGAUACCCGAGUAGUC